rnacentral:misc_RNA from 1 species
GCGAGUAAAACUCUCUAACACCAUUGUGAAUGAACUGCCACGUUGCUUCGGCGGGGUCAAACCCGCCGAAAGAACGCAAACUCUAUGUAACGAUUGUAUCUCUGAGUCAACUUUUUAAUAAGUUA